AACGGACGCUGGCGGCAGGCUUAACACAUGCAAGUCGAACGCAUCCUUCGGGGUGAGUGGCAGACGGGUGAGUAACGCGUGGGAACGUGCCCUUCAGUUCGGGAUAACCCAGGGAAACUUGGGCUAAUACCGGAUACGUGCGAGAGCAGAAAGAUUUAUCGCUGAAGGAUCGGCCCGCGUCUGAUUAGCUAGUUGGUGGGGUAAUGGCCCACCAAGGCGACGAUCAGUAGCUGGCCUGAGAGGAUGAUCAGCCACAUUGGGACUGAGACACGGCCCAAACUCCUACGGGAGGCAGCAGUGGGGAAUAUUGGACAAUGGGCGCAAGCCUGAUCCAGCCAUGCCGCGUGAGUGAUGAAGGCCUUAGGGUUGUAAAGCUCUUUCGUCCGGGACGAUAAUGACGGUACCGGAAGAAGAAGCCCCGGCUAACUUCGUGCCAGCCGCCGCAGUAA
rnacentral:rRNA from 1 species